UACGUAGGGGGCAAGCGUUGUCCGGAUUUAUUGGGCGUAAAGAGCUCGUAGGCGGUUUGGUAAGUCAGGUGUGAAAUCUCCACGCUCAACGUGGAGGGGCCACCUGAUACUGCCAUGACUGGAGUCCGGUAGAGGAGUGUGGAAUUCCCGGUGUAGCGGUGAAAUGCGCAGAUAUCAGGAAGAACACCCGUGGCGAAGGCGGCUCUCUGGGACGGUACUGACGCUGAGACGCGAAAGCGUGGGGAGCGAACAGG
rnacentral:rRNA from 1 species